rnacentral:rRNA from 1 species
UAAUACGUAGGGUGCGAGCGUUAAUCGGAAUUACUGGGCGUAAAGCGUGCGCAGGCGGUUUUGUAAGCCAGAUGUGAAAUCCCCGGGCUUAACCUGGGAAUGGCAUUUGGGACUGCAAGGCUGGAGUUUGGCAGAGGAGACUGGAAUUCCUGGUGUAGCAGUGAAAUGCGUAGAUAUCAGGAGGAACACCGAUGGCGAAGGCAGGUCUCUGGGCUGAAACUGACGCUCAUGCACGAAAGCGUGGGGAGCAAACAGGAUUAGAUACCCUGGUAGUCCACGCCCUAAACGAUGUCAACUGGUUGUUGGGAAGGUUUCUUCUCAGUAACGUAGCUAACGCGUGAAGUUGACCGCCUGGGGAGUACGGCCGCAAGGUUG